GUGUCAGCAGCCGCGGUAAUACGUAGGUGGCGAGCGUUGUCCGGAUUUACUGGGCGUAAAGGGAGCGUAGGCGGAUAUUUAAGUGGGAUGUGAAAUACCCGGGCUUAACUUGGGUGCUGCAUUCCAAACUGGAUAUCUAGAGUGCAGGAGAGGAAAGUGGAAUUCCUAGUGUAGCGGUGAAAUGCGUAGAGAUUAGGAAGAACACCAGUGGCGAAGGCGACUUUCUGGACUGUAACUGACGCUGAGGCUCGA
rnacentral:rRNA from 1 species